UUCCGACCGAUGCAGCCUCCAAUCUCUAUCUUGCAAUAUAUGGCGAGCGGCCUGGGGGAAAACGCCUCGAUGGCGGGGCGGAAGGAGACUGCCUCGGAGAUGAAGGCGGAUAAGAAUCCCUAUCCCUUGCAUAUGGUCGUUGACGACGAAGAAGAUGAGGAUGCUUUGGCGCAGUUGUUUCUUGAUAAUGACGAUGGCGAGGAGGGGUGUGCAGCUGAUCUGUUUGGGAACUGUGGGGUGAUCUCGGUGCUAUUUGAGACGCCCUCUGGCUUUACACCCUAUGGCUUUGCAAUCUUCGAUUAUGAUGCGGUCAAGCUCACUGAACCAGAUGCCUGGCAGCAUAUCUGGGCAGAUUUCGUCAAUGUGCAAAACGCAGUUAUUUGGGUGAAAGCCUUCAAAACUUUUGAGUACAAACGCUACGCCAUUAAUAAGAAUUCUGUUAGUCCAGAUCUUAGUUCGAUGAUCCAGAAGCAUGUUCUCAAUGGGCAAACACUAGCUGUUGGAAAUGAGGAUUACAAAAAUGUCAUUCAGGAUAGAUUGAGAAUACCCUGCGUGUACAGUCGUGUUGUCAAGGAGUUAAUGUGGGGCUUGAUGAUUCAGAUCCAGCAUUUUCUGCCUGUGAUAAAUUCUCAGAUGAUUAAUGAGGAUCGCUUCCCGAUGAGUGAGGGGAUGAUAUUUCUCCUGGAGCACCAUAACUUUGACAUCAAUCCACAUAUGAUGGUUACUAAACGUAUUAUUGAGAUGGCAGGCAUCUUAUAUGAGUGUGAUCGUUGUGUGAAAAAAUAUGAUACCUUCUUGCGCUUAGCUGCUCAGCACCUUAUGAAAAUAUCUCGCAUUAACACUUCUCAUUGGGAUUUAAUGAAACUUGCGACCGUAUUCAAGAUGAUAUGUGACCCUGAAGAUGAAAUUUCAGAUGCCAGACGGCUGUUCUCAGAACAACUGUUGAAGAGGUUGGCGAGGGAUGCACCUCGAUAUCAAGAUAAAAUCUUGAAGGAUCCUUACUCUGAAGUUUAUAAAGAAAUGUUCUCUGCCCGAAAAAUGAGGCUUGAGGCGGGUAGAGUGUUGGUCAGUUUGCUUAAGCGGGCCAAAAAAGCAUAUGAAGAUGAACAGGCAGGCAAAGCUGCAAGUGACCAUGAAAUUGGUCCUGACAGGAAGAAGAUUUGUCGUGGUUUCGUCCCUGUCAUGAUUGAUGAACUUACAGAGUGGCAUACCGUGCUUUCAGAAAAAAUGUAAAGAAAUACAGGUACACUUAAUGCUCCAUAGGGGCACACUAAAUAGUAGAAAAAGGAAAUGAGAGAACAAACUCUCUUCUCCAGAGUCUCUGCAGCAAGUUAGUUUUGUUUUACUUGAUAGUUGUCUGGUACGAUACCAGGAAAAAAAGGAGAGAAGAAAAAACUAUGACAGUGGAAUUUGAUAUUAGUGGAAGCUACCUUGCCAUUGGUGGUUCUGGGACAAGAGAAAGUAACUUGUUUGAAGUUUGGAGCCGAUGCUAGGUACAUCGCUGUAGGUUCAAUGGAGCAUAACCUACGGAUAUUUGGGCCCCCAAGCUUGUUUUGUUAGUAUCUUAUUAUUACGGCAACUCGCUAGUGAUUCAGCCAGUGUACUUUUGGCGAUCACAUUUUGAGUUGCUAUUUGUAUGUUAUCCCUUCUUUUUGUGAAGAAUGAAUUGUAAACUAGGGGCAGCUAAAAAGGGGCAAACUGUUUGUAGAGGUAGUGUCGGGGCUGCAGGGAACCGUCCUGAUGGUUGCCUGGGCCCUGGCUUAUUUAUUUCUAAACAAUCCUAAGAACCUCUUGAAUGUUUAGCCUGUUGUUUUUCGGAGAAGAAACGACAAUGAAUGUU